GAGCGUUGGAGCAGGUCAGGAAUGGUGGUUGGUCGGGUGUGGCUCAUCUCAGGUAAGACUUAACUCUUAGCUCUUGUGGUUUACGUUGUACAUUUGAGGUGCUGCUUUCACAUGGGAAGGCUACUGUUUUCAAUGAAGACAUUGUAGCACAGCAAGAUCUUGGGCUUUUUGAGGGGCAUGAUGCAUGUGUUGUGCUGUAAGGAAGAAGUAUAAGAAAGAUUCCCUGUAUCUGCGGAUUCUCUCUGGCAAUUUGAUGACCAUCUGAGAAAUAGAAUAUCCUUAAACACCAGACUGUAGUAGUAUACGAGAGGUGUAGAUGAUACAGGAUAUAAUAAAGUGUGUGUGUGUGUGUGUGUGUGUGUGUGUGUGUGUGUGUGAGUGUGUGUGUGUGUGUGUGUGUGUUUUUUUGUGUGUGUUUUUGUGUGCACGUACUCUAGUGCACGUGUGUCAUUCUACUUCCCAGAGUAUACACUGAGUAUUCAGUAUUCUUAGAUACCACCUCGUAUCGUUGACUAUAGAUUGGGGAAGGCUGUUUCUGCACUGUUGUUUUGAUUGAAACCAGUCUCUCCUGCUUGUCUGUCUUGCCCUUAGGAAUGAGGUUCAAGAGCUUUCGUAUAGAUCUUUAUAUCUGUGAUCACUUAUGGUGGUUCUAGUCUUCUAUCUACAGGGAUGGAAAGUUCUGUUCAUGUGCAACGUUGUUGGAAAUAACAAUGAGUGUGUCUAUAAGAAAUGAAACUGUCUGUAUUUUCGAUUGUCACUUUAUAUCACGAGUGUUAGUAGAUAACUAUUUCAUAUUUCCACGAAGCCUACUUGUUCACGAGUCGAUAGUGGCUGUCGGCAGAUUCUUUUAGUAUACACAGUUAAUGAAUCGAGAAAGGAAUUUCAACACAAUCUAUAUACCCGCUGAGAUCUAAUUCUUGACUCCGCAGAACAUUUCAGAUACUCCACAGUCGGUGGUCAAUUGAUCAAUGACAGUAGUCCGAUUCGCCAACCGGUGUAAUUUUUCAUGUCUUCACGGAGGCUGGAUUGCAUGGGAGCCAGUGCCCACUUUGAAGAGGUCCAGAGUUUUGGGAGGGAGGCCGGGCAGGCGGAGCUGUCGUUUGUCUUUAUCAGAUACAAUGAAGAUAAGAAGGUCCUGCUCUCAUGUACCAUCUGUUUCUGCUGGAGACCUCCGGGGCCCUAACCUAACCACACACACUGCAUGAAGAUGGUGCCCUUACCCACUGUGUAUGUGUGUGUGUGCGUGCGUGCGUGCGUGCGCGUGUGUGUGUGUGCUUGUGUGUGUGUGUCUUUGUGUGUGUCUUUGUGUGUGUGUGUGUGUGU
rnacentral:lncRNA from 13 species